AUGGGAACGCGAAGAACCUUACCUACUCUUGACAUCCAGAGAACUUAGCAGAGAUGCUUUGGUGCCUUCGGGAACUCUGAGACAGGUGCUGCAUGGCUGUCGUCAGCUCGUGUUGUGAAAUGUUGGGUUAAGUCCCGCAACGAGCGCAACCCUUAUCCUUUGUUGCCAGCGGUUCGGCCGGGAACUCAAAGGAGACUGCCAGUGAUAAACUGGAGGAAGGUGGGGAUGACGUCAAGUCAUCAUGGCCCUUACGAGUAGGGCUACACACGUGCUACAAUGGCAUAUACAAAGAGAAGCGACCUCGCGAGAGCAAGCGGACCUCAUAAAGUAUGUCGUAGUCCGGAUUGGAGUCUGCAACUCGACUCCAUGAAGUCGGAAUCGCUAGUAAUCGUAGAUCAGAAUGCUACGGUGAAUACGUUCCCGGGUCUUGUACACACCG
rnacentral:rRNA from 1 species